rnacentral:rRNA from 1 species
GUAGGGAAUCUUGCGCAAUGGGCGAAAGCCUGACGCAGCCAUGCCGCGUGAAUGAUGAAGGUCUUAGGAUUGUAAAAUUCUUUCACCGGGGACGAUAAUGACGGUACCCGGAGAAGAAGCCCCGGCUAACUUCGUGCCAGCAGCCGCGGUAAUACGAAGGGGGCUAGCGUUGCUCGGAAUUACUGGGCGUAAAGGGAGCGUAGGCGGAUAGUUUAGUCAGAGGUGAAAGCCCAGGGCUCAACCUUGGAAUUGCCUUUGAUACUGGCUAUCUUGAGUUUGGGAGAGGUGAGUGGAACUCCGAGUGUAGAGGUGAAAUUCGUAGAUAUUCGGAAGAACACCAGUGGCGAAGGCGACUCACUGGCCCAAUACUGACGCUGAGGCGCGAAAGCGUGGGGAGCAAACAGGAUUAGAUACCCUUGUAGUCC